rnacentral:rRNA from 1 species
GAUGAACGCUGGCGGCGUGCCUAAUACAUGCAAGUCGAGCGAACAGAUGAGGAGCUUGCUCCUCUGACGUUAGCGGCGGACGGGUGAGUAACACGUGGAUAACCUACCUAUAAGACUGGGAUAACUUCGGGAAACCGGAGCUAAUACCGGAUAAUAUAUUGAACCGUAUGGUUCAAUAGUGAAAGACGGUUUUGCUGUCACUUAUAGAUGGAUCCGCGCCGCAUUAGCUAGUUGGUAAGGUAACGGCUUACCACGGCGACGAUGCGUAGCCGAACUGAGAGGGUGGUCGGCCACACUAGAACUGGGACACGGUCAAGACGACUGAGGGAGGCAGCAGUAGGGAAUCUUCCGCAAUAGGCGAAAGCAUGACGGAGCAACGCCGCGUGAGUGAUGAAGGUCUUCGGAUCGUAAAACUCUGUUAUUAGGGAAGAACAAAUGUGUAAGUAACUAUGCACGUCUUGACGGUACCUAGUCAGAAAGCCACGGCUAACUACGUG